rnacentral:rRNA from 1 species
GACAGAGGUGCCGAGCGUUAGGCGGAAUCACUGGGCUUAAAGCGCGUGUAGGUGGCGGCCUAAGUACCUUGUGAAAUCCUGCGGCUCAACCGCAAAACUGCUUGGUAUACUGGGUCGCUUGAGACAUUCAGGGGCAACUGGAACAAGCGGUGGAGCGGUGAAAUGCGUAGAUAUCGUGAGGAACACCAGAGGCGAAGGCGACUACCUGGCCUGUUCUUGACGCUGAGGCGCGAAAGCUAGGGGAGCAAACGGG